rnacentral:rRNA from 1 species
ACGGAAGGCAGCAGUAGGGAAUCUUCCGCAAUGGACGAAAGUCUGACGGAGCAAUGCCGCGUGAGUGAAGAAGGUUUUCGGAUCGUAAAACUCUGUUGUUAGAGAAGAACAAGGAUGAGAGUAACUGCUCAUCCCCUGACGGUAUCUAACCAGAAAGCCACGGCUAACUACGUGCCAGCAGCCGCGGUAAUACGUAGGUGGCAAGCGUUGUCCGGAUUUAUUGGGCGUAAAGCGAGCGCAGGCGGUUCUUUAAGUCUGAUGUGAAAGCCCCCGGCUCAACCGGGGAGGGUCAUUGGAAACUGGAGAACUUGAGUGCAGAAGAGGAGAGUGGAAUUCCACGUGUAGCGGUGAAAUGCGUAGAUAUGUGGAGGAACACCAGUGGCGAAGGCGACUCUCUGGUCUGUAACUGACGCUGAGGCUCGAAAGCGUGGGGAGCAAACAGGAUUAGAUACCCUGGUA